GAGUUUGAUUCUGGCUCAGNGCGAACGCUGGCGGCAGGCCUAACACAUGCAAGUCGAACGAACCCUUCGGGGUUAGUGGCGGACGGGUGAGUAACACGUGGGAACGUGCCCUUUGGUACGGAAUAACUCAGGGAAACUUGAGCUAAUACCGUAUGUGCCCUUCGGGGGAAAGAUUUAUCGCCAUUGGAGCGGCCCGCGUCUGAUUAGCUAGUUGGUGAGGUAAUGGCUCACCAAGGCGACGAUCAGUAGCUGGUCUGAGNGGAUGACCAGCCACAUUGGGACUGAGNCACGGCCCAAACUCCUACGGGAGGCAGCAGUGGGGAAUCUUGCGCAAUGGGCGAAAGCCUGAC
rnacentral:rRNA from 1 species